ACCUUUUCAACUCUUCAAGAAAUACAUUGUACUGGCAUAUUCUUUCUUCUUUCAAUUUUCAUUAGAACAAUCAUCUUUUUCACAAAAAUGAAAAUAGACCCACAAAUUUUAAAAAAAAAAAAUCACAGACCCACAAAAUUAUGGAGAAACAAUUUUUCCCAAAUCUGUUGUUCAGAGGAACAAUGGAGAAAAUAAAUAUCUUAUCCGUUUACAAAUAAAAUCAAAUGGAAUAGUUAUAUCACAUCUGAUUUUUGAUCAAAAGAUGGCGAGUGCAAUUCUCAUCGAAUCUAUAUCCAAUAUGAUUCUCAUCCACUGAUAAGUCUUAAAGGUAAGAAAAAAAUAUUAUUUUUAUAUUCGCAGAUUUUCUAUUCUCUAGAUCAAAAUUAUUAUUUUCUUAUAAGAAAAAAUUCAGCAAAAAAUAAAAUAAAAUUAAGCACUAUUUUUUCAAGAAAUAACAUCUCACACAUGUAACAAUUAAUGUUGCUCUGAUAUCAGUGUAAUUAUUAACAGUUAGAGGAAUAAGACUGUAUAUCUUUUAACCGUAGCGGAAAACUAAACCAAUGAUAUCUUUUUUGAGGAUUUGCUUGGAUUGGGACUUUGAAUCUCAAGAAAAGAAAGUGCAAUGACACGAACUAAGUAACCUCUUCGAAUGUUUGAUGUCAAUGUUAAUAAAUAAAUGGGUGUGCUUUCCUUGUGGUAUGAUGCUUCCUCUUCUUGUUUCAUCUUUAUGCGAGUCAAUGUCCUUGAUUUUGGUAGUGUGUGAUUUCCAUGUUUAGAUGUAAGCCUACUUUUCAUACAUUUUGAAUCUCAUUUUUAUUUUUAUUUUGCAUUGAUCAGUUAGAAUUAGUGUCAUCAUUCAAUCAUAAGUUUUAAAUAUAAGUUAUUGAAGGAAA